rnacentral:rRNA from 1 species
AUUGAACGCUGGCGGCAGGCUUAACACAUGCAAGUCGAGCGGAGAGAGGUAGCUUGCUACUGAUCUUAGCGGCGGACGGGUGAGUAAUGCUUAGGAAUCUGCCUAUUAGUGGGGGACAACAUUUCGAAAGGAAUGCUAAUACCGCAUACGUCCUACGGGAGAAAGCAGGGGAUCUUCGGACCUUGCGCUAAUAGAUGAGCCUAAGUCGGAUUAGCUAGUUGGUGGGGUAAAGGCCUACCAAGGCGACGAUGUGUAGCGGGUCUGAGAGAAUGAUCCGCCACACUGGGACUGAGACACGGCCCAGACUCCUACGGGAGGCAGCAGUGGGGAAUAUUGGACAAUGGGCGGAAGCCUGAUCCAGCCAUGCCGCGUGUGUGAAGAAGGCCUUAUGGUUGUAAAGCACUUUAAGCGAGGAGGAGGCUACUUUAGUUAAUACCUAGAGAUAGUGGACGUUACUCGCAGAAUAAGCACCGGCUGACUCUGUGCCAGCAGCCGCAGUAA